rnacentral:rRNA from 1 species
CCCUUAGAUGUUCUGGGCUGCACGCGUGUUACAAUCGGGAGUACAACAAGAUUGCAAAUCCUAGUGGAUGAGUGGUUCUUCGAAAUUUUCUGAAGACUGGGAUAGUUGAUUGAAAUUAUUCAACUCAAACGAGGAAUUCCUUGUAAUUGUAAUUCAUUAUAUUGUAAUGAAUACGUCCCUGCCCUUUGUACACACCGCCCGUCGCUCCUACCGAUUGAACGAUCCGGUGAAUUAUUUGGAAUAGCUCUGGAAGUUGCAGAACUUCCUAUGUCACGAAAUUUUGUAAACCUUAUCGUUUAGAGGAAGGAAAAGUCGUAACA